UUUCUCAGGCGGCAUAUCAACUAAGGAUACUCGUUUCUCUCCGGAACAAGAAUCGACCAUCAUCUUUGCUGCACUGGUUCUAAAUUCGAUACCAAAACUAAAGGUCUUCUUACCAAAACUAAAGGUCUUCUUAAUAUGGCUAAACUGAUGUCUUCCUUGAGCCAAAACCCCAAUAUGACCAGCCUGAACAAUGACACUCCUUAUGAAACUGCUGCAUACCAUCAGGC
rnacentral:lncRNA from 1 species